ACAUGAUGGUUGAUAAAUUUAUGGAUGAAGGUGCGUGCGAGUAGGUUAGCACUAUGACUCUCAAAUCAAUGAGAAAAAGAGACAAAUUUGUGCUAAAAAGUGGUGAAUUAGUUGUACCUUGAGUGUGAUGUAAUGUCACGCUUAUAUAGACGAAUAGGUUUAUAACUGUCUCCUUGAUCUACAACGCCACAUUUGAGAAUCGUUAGCGAGGGCUUCAACGAUGGAGAUUGCCUCAUGGGGCACUUGUAAGUGGUAAGCCGCACAGAGCGUAUUGUGCGACUCCCCUCCACACGUCUCUCGGAUCUUGGGGCAAUGGGGCUUGUUGGUACGUCUUUGCGGGAGGAGGCCCAAUUCAGAACAAAAACAUAUGUUGAUUUAACAAUAGAGUAUAAAACUAUGAAUUCAGCUCUUUACGUAACACAUUUUUCCCGCGACCAACUGAAAUACCGAAAAUACUCAUGCGUGACUUAACUCACGCAGGUGUUAAAUCUGUGCAACUUAACUCACGUUGCGUGUUGUUUUAAAGACAGACAACACCUCAUUUCCUCACUUUUCAUCUAAAAUCUCCAAAAUGUCUCUCAAAUCACCCAAAUCCAAAAUUCCUUCAAGUUCAAAUCAAACAUCACUCCCUUAACAAGUAAGUUUUCAUAAUCAAACACCAUUAAGCUUUUAUGUUUAUAUGUUAGAUUUUUUCUCUUAAAUUAGAUUUUUUUUUUAGAUUUAGGUUUGUUUAAAUUUUAGUUUUUUUGGCAAAAAGUCAUACAAUGUUUACAUGAAAAUGAUUUGUGUUGCUUAAAUGUUUAGAUGUUCGCAUGCUUAUGUUGUAGUUAUGAGUUUUAGGGUUUAUGUAUAAUUUGCACUUCAAAUGUUUGAUGAAUUGUUUGAAUGAGUUUUUCAUUGAUUGUUUUUAAUUUCUUAUUGUAUAGAUUUGAAGCAAUGGGCGAUAUGUUCGACGUUCAAGCACAAUUCAACGGUGGAGAACCUCAGAGGUUGAAGGUUUGGUACCUUGGUGUCACAUUAAGAGGUCUUACGGAUCAACUGAAUGAAUUCAACCAAGGAGUCAACCCCAGAGACACAAGGAGGGUGGAAUACGUUUGGUAUAAACGUCCAACGUUUGACGAUGGGAGAAUAUCAUUCAGUUGGAUGAAAUUAACAAACGACGACGACGUGACGAACAUGUUUUGGGAGCACAACAUGUUACCGUGGAUCGAUAUGUAUGUAACAUUGCUGAGAUCAACUAAAGAUAUUCUCAACAGUUUGAUUCCGCCAGAAGACCGUGAUUAGGUAGGGAAUGCACCUUCCAACUACAACAAUUAUCUUACCUCUAAAAUUGGAUAAGGUUAAACUUGUUAAACAACAUCUCUCAAGCAUUCACCCGGAAGUUUUAUUGUUCCUUUCAAAACAACAUGUAUUAUGCAGAAUCAACUAUAUAAGUUAUGAUAUCGAAUUCCUUCAUAUAAGAUGAGUGUCACGAAAAUUAGAGUGAUAAUUGUAAAUGUAUGCUCUAAAUGUGAUUUGGAGGCCAAGAGAAGAUUGUGGGAAGAUUUAGUACAUGAAAAGGAGAGUAGAGGCGGAGGAGUGUGGUGUGUGGUUGGAGAUUUCAAUGCGGUGCGAAGGAGGGAUGAGAGGAGAGGGGUUAAUGCGGAAGUGUCAACGACUCAACUUUUGGAGAUGUCUUUGUUUAAUAGCUUUCUUGGUGAGAUGGAGUUGGAAGAUUUAAAUGUGUUGGGUCGUAAAUUUACUUGGUAUCAUCCGAAUGGGAGAUCAAUGAGCCGUAUUGAUAGAGUACUAAUCUCGGAUGAGUGGUCUCAAUGUUGGGGGGAUAAUUACCUUUGGGUGUUACCAAGAGAUGUUUCCGACCAUUGCCCGUUGGUGCUUAAAAAUGGGGGGUGGGAUUGGGGGCCAAAAUCAUUCCGGUUUAAUAAUUUUUGGUUAGAAAAAAAAAAUUUCAUGGGGUUGGUCGAAGAUUCUUGGAGGAACCAAAAUGUGAGUGGGUGGAUGGGCUUUGUGCUAAAAGAAAAAUUGAAAGGGCUCAAAGCUACUUUAAAAGAGUGGAACAAAGUGGAGUACGGAGGUAUGGAGGCGAGGGUUGAAAAACUAGUAGUGGAAAUUCAAGGUCUUUAUGAGAAAGGGGAGGAGGGUGUUUUGAGCGAUGGGGAACUACUUGACCGUAAACAAAAGUUUGAAGAGCUUUGGCGUAUUCUUAAGGCAAAAGAUGCGAUGAUUGUCCAAAGGUCUAGAUCGAAAUGGAUUAAGGAAGGGGAUGCAAAUACAAGGUUUUUUCAUAAAUGUCUUAAGUUGAGGUCAAGUAAGAAUGCAAUUAAGGCGUUAAAGGAUGGAGACGGUUGGGUGGUGUCACCAUUUGAUGUUCGGAGGAAAGUGGUGAAUUUUUUUACUAACCAUGUUUCAAAUUGCAGGUGGGAGCGUCCGACGUUGGAUGGGGUAAAUUUCGAUAGACUUUCCGAGGGUGAUAAUGGUGUGUUGGUUGCUCCAUUCUCCUUGUUGGAAAUUGAGUCGGUGGUUAGAGAUUGUGAUGGGAACAAAAGUCCAGGCCCGGAUGGAUUCAAUUAUGCUUUUGUGAAGGAAUUUUGGGGAUUAUUGAAACAUGAAGUAAGAAUCAUGUUUGAUCAAUUUCAUGCUAAUGAGGUGCUACCAAAGUCCAUGUUGGCGUAUUUUGUUGCUUUAAUUCCAAAAGUGUCUUCACCUUUGGAGUUGAAGGAUUAUCGACCAAUCUCACUGCUAGGGUGUCUGUAUAAAUUAUUAGCAAAGGUGUUGGCAAGGAGGUUGGCAGGAGUUAUGAACUCAAUUAUUUCUCCAACGCAAUCGGCUUUUCUUAAAGGAAGGAAUUUAGUGGAUGGGGUGUUGGUGGUGAAUGAGUUGGUGGAUUAUGCGAGGAAAGUGAAGAAGGAGUGUUUGAUUUUCAAAGUAGAUUUCGAAAAGGACUAUGAUUCGGUGGAUUGGGGCUUUUUGGAAUAUAUGAUGGGUAGAGUGGGUAUGUGUGCAAAGUGGAUCGCUUGGAUGAAGGCGUGUGUAUUUGGUGGGACUAUGUCUAUUCUAGUUAAUGGAAGUCCGACGAAGGAGAUUAAUAUUCAUAGAGGACUAAAGCAAGGGGAUCCCUUAGCUCCGUUUUUGUUUUUGUUGGUUGCGGAAGGUUUUAGCGGUUUGAUGAGGAACGCGUUGCAUCUCAAUUUGUUCGAAGGCUUCCGUAUUGGUGGUAAUGAUCUAGUGGUGUCUCAUUUGCAAUAUGCCGAUGAUACUCUUUGUAUAGGAAAUGCAACGGUGGAGAACCUUUGGGCUAUGAAUGCGCUUUUACGAGGUUUUGAAAUGGUGUCCGGUUUGAAGAUUAAUUUUUUUAAGAGUUCUUUGAUUGGGGUAAAUGUGCCGGAGGAAUUUAUGGGGAUGGCUUGUGACUUUUUGAAUUGUAGUCAAGGGAGGCUUCCAUUUAAGUAUUUGGGAUUACCGGUGGGGGCUAAUCCGCGGAGUUUAGCAACUUGGGAACCGUUGGUGAAUCUUUUGACCGAAAAGUUGAAUUCUUGGGGGCAUAAAUAUAUUAGUUUUGGGGGAAGAAUAGUUCUCCUAAAUUCGGUCCUAAAUUCAAUCCCAAUUUUUUACUUGUCGUUUUUUAAGAUGCCGGUACAAGUGUGGAAGAGAAUUGUUAGAGUCCAAAGAGAAUUCCUUUGGGGUGGCGUGAGAGGAGGUAAAAAAAUUAGUUGGGUAAAAUGGGACUCGGUGUGUCAACCAAAGAGGAAUGGAGGUCUUGGGGUUAGGGACGUUAGGGUGGUAAAUGUGAGUUUGUUGGCGAAAUGGAGAUGGAGAUUGUUAAAUGGUGAAAAGACGUUAUGGAAAGAAGUUUUGGGGGAAAAAUAUGGCCCUUGUUUAGAUACGUUGUUGGAGGUAGGUGGAGUGAUGUGGCCUAGACUUGCUUCAUCAUGGUGGAAAGAUUUAGUCAAGUUGGAUGAAUUUGGGGUGCAAAAUUGGUUCAAUUCGGAGAUCGUUAAAAAAGUGGGGAAUGGGAUGAAUACUAGUUUUUGGAAUGAUAAAUGGCGAGGGGAUAGAUGUUUUCGCCUUCGAUAUCCUCGCCUAUUUUCAAUUUCAAAUCAAAAGGAGGCAAAGGUGGGGGAAGUUGGGGUGCGAGUGGAGGAGGGAGUGGAUUGGAGGUUCAUAUGGAGAAGGAAUUUGUUUGUGUGGGAAGACGAAUUGUUGCUUAGUCUUAAUGAGGAUUUGGAAGAGUUGAGGUGGACUCAAGAGCUUGAUGUGUGGUGGUGGAAGUUGGAAGAUAGUGGAGUUUUUUCGGUGAAGUCGGCGUAUAAGAGGUUGGAGGAGGUGGUUUCAAGGGAGGAUGGGUGGGGUGAAGAGGAAAAGGGAGUGUUUGAAGAUAUGUGGAAGAGCCCCGUGCCGUCAAAAGUGGUGGCGUUUACUUGGAAGGCACUUCGUAACCGGAUAGCAACAAAAGAUAACCUCGUGAUUAGGAAUGUUAUUCCACCGGAGGCCUCAAAUUUGUGUGUCUUGUGUAAUAGGGAUGAAGAAUCAACGUGUCACCUAUUUCUACAUUGUGAGGUGGUGAGGUCGGUUUGGUUGAGAUUGAUGGUGUGGAUGAAUUGUUCCUUUAUAACCCCUCCGAAUUUAUUUGUUCAUUGGGAUUGUUGGUGUGGGGAGAGUCGAAACAAGAAGGUGAUCAACGGGCUGCGGCUUGUGUGGCAUACCGCGGUUUGGUUAUUGUGGAAAGCAAGGAAUGAUAUAAUUUUUAACAAUUCUACUUGCGAGGUAGAUGAUUUGGUGGAGAAGAUUAAAGUUUUGUCGUGGAGAUGGAUGUUGUAUAGGACUAAAAUUCCGGCUUGUCUUUUUUAUGAAUGGUGUUGGAACCCUCAUUUUUGUUUACUGAGAUGAGGGGAGGUGUGUUCUCUCGGUGCUGCUGCUUUUGUCCCUGCCUGUUGCAUCGGUUCUUCUGUGUUAGUGGCCAUCUUUUGCUGUUUUGGUUAUUGUUACAGUAUCCAUGUUGUUAGGGUGGGGUAGGUAGCUGUUGUUUUUGUAAUGUGCUUCCUAGGAACUAUUUGGCAGCGGCACUGUGUCUUAUUUUGGGCUGAUCAGGUUACUUGUUUUGUGGAUAGUGAGGCUUAGGUAUGCAUGUGGUUUCCUAAUACAUGUGUAUACUUUGGCCUCGUUAUUCAUUUAUUUUGGGUGGUUGUUUUGGUUGAGGUGUUCCGUAUAUUUGUGGCGUCGAUUGUUUUGAUCUUUUCCUCCUCGAGUUUUUCGCGUCUUGCGAUUACUCGCAUUUAAUAAAUUUUGCCUUUUAAAAAAAAAAUCUUGUUUUGAAAGGAACAAUAAAACUUCCGGGUGAAUACUUGAAAGCUGUUGUUUAACAAGUUUGAAUUUAUCCAAUUUCAGAGGUAAGACAAUUGUUGUACCACAUAUCUCUAUCCGAAUGUAAUGUAAUGAUAUGACAUAUUUAGGAACUUUAUGUAAUGUAAUUUAACCUAACUUUUAUUCGAAUUUAUUCAAUACACAACUUUAUUUGAAUUUAAUUAAUACACAAUUUUCAUUCGAAUUCACGCUGAGUUUAAUUAGUCUUUAUUCGAAUUUAUUUAAUACGUUACUUUAUUCGAAUUCACGCUGAGUUUAAUAUACUUUAUUCGAAUUUAUUUAACACACUACUUUAUUCGAAUUCACACUGAGUUUAAUUAGUCUUUAUUCAAAUUUAUUUAAUACGCUACUUUAUUCGAAUUUAUUUAAUAUGCUACUUUAUUCAAAUUCACGGUGGGUUUAAUUAGUCUUUAUUCGAAUUUAUUUAAUACGUUACUUUAUUCAAAUUUAUUUAAGACGCUACUUUAUUCGAAUUCACGCUGAGUUUAAUUAGUCUUUAUUCGAUUUUUUUUAUUCUAUACACAAUCAUAAAAUGAAUGUAAAUAUAAACAAAAAUAAAGGAACAAAAAUAAUAGAUAUAAAAUCUCAUUUUAUUAAUAUAAUUCUUAUUACAUUUACAAUGGGGUAAAACUAAAUAUGCGGAAGAAAAAAAAACCACAAAAAAAUCAGUCUACAUGGGGUAAAACUAAAUCAUCCUAGGUAGGUUGUCCAACCUUGUUGGGGGUAAAACUACAUCUACUUCAUUUUGCCCCAAGAAGGCUGUUCACCAAUGAACUCAAACUCAAAGCAACUUCUCGAAAUCUUCAAAGAUGCCUAUUUCUAUGAAAGGCCAAGUAUGGAAGAACAACAUUGUUGUUGUAGAAGGAAGAGGAGGGAGUAGAGUGAGGAGGAGAGAAUGUGAGAUGGUGUGAGGAAAUGAGGAAUUUUGGAGGGAUAUUUAUAGGUGGGAAUGGUAACAUAGGUUAUAACUACAAUUAAUAUAGUCAAAAAACGUGUAAAAUCAAGGUUGAAAAGCUGACCACCAUCCAAAAAACCUGUGUUCUUGAGCUCAGACCACCGGCCAACCUGCGUGAGUUAACUUGUGCAUCGGCCAGUGAUGCGUGACUUAAGUCACGCUGAGCUAUUAGGUGGAUGAGUUAAGUCACGCAGCGUGACUUAACUCACACAUGGGUAUAUUUGAAAAAUCAGUUGGGUGUGAGUGUUUUGUGUUGGGUAAAGAGCAGAAUUCUAAAACUAUUUGUUGGUUAACUUUCAAAGGACCAAACAAAAAUGUUGAUUUUUUGUAUGGAUGAAAAACCAAACUUCGUAAUUUUAUAUAGAUGAAAAACAAAUUUACAUCUAAAAUAAAUUACUAAUAUUAAAAAUUACACACUUGUUAUCACAAUAGAAUGGGGUAAUAUACAAGUACCUAUGUAAAGUGUUGGUUCACUCACAAGAUCGUGAGGGUUCAACUUUCGUUGUUCAUAUAAUGACCUUCUUUGAUAAAUGAUGUGUAAAUAUUUCUAUAAAUGUUUCCCGAAUCUUGAAAAUUCUCUUAUUCUUGCGAGCUCCUAAAACCUUACUCUCAUAAACUUUUGAGGUGACAAUAAAGGUGGGGUUUAGUAUGGAAAAAUUGACCAUUAGAUAAAGUAGAGAACAUACCUUUAUCAUAGACAACACCAUAUAUAUANNNNNNNNNNNNNNNNNNNNNNNNNNNNNNNNNNNNNNNNNNNNNNNNNNNNNNNNNNNNNNNNNNNNNNNNNNNNNNNNNNNNNNNNNNNNNNNNNNNNNNNNNNNNNNNNNNNNNNNNNNNNNNNNNNNNNNNNNNNNNNNNNUCCCUCCCUCCCCAACAUCAGCCAUUAUCAAACUUCAAUCAUCUUAGCCAAUUGUGAGAUGAAAUACCAAUUUCAUCAAUAAUCUUAAUCUUCACUCACUCUUUUAUAACAAAACAUGAAUUUAUUUUGUUUGAGUUGUUUAGUUUUUAACUUGAUUUCUGGAUCACACUGCAUAAGGUCUAUCACGAUCAGUUUAGAAUACACCAAUCAAUUUGUUCCACAAAGGAAACGCUACAAUGCUACACCAUUUAUACUUAAGUUUUUAUGUUCUAGGUUGAAGUAGAAUAUGACAUUGAAGGAGAGAGAUAAUGGCGAUUAAUAGUGGAAAAAGAUAAUCUAGUGUUGAGAGUGUACUAUAAGACAGUGUUCUUAAUUUUAAAAAAAAAUUCAUGAUGGAGAAAAACUCUACUGUCCCAUGCUAAAUGCCACCGGCAACAAAAUGUGGGAAACACUUGGACGAACCUUUAUGCUUUUGACUACUCGUAUGGGAAAUUUACCCCACUUCUUUUAGUGGGUUGUUAAGAAUAUAAUAUAUAUGUGGAAAACACUUGGACGAAUCUUUAUUAGUUGUGUGGAAAAAUCCACAUCUCGUCUAAAAAUUCCCUUAGUCAUAAAAUGACUAAAAUUCCCUUCUCGUCUAAAAAUUCACUAAUCCCAAAUCAAACACAUAAACGAGAAAUUAAACUCAAUUAAUAAAUAAAUAAUCCUAGCAAAUAACGUUGUGUUACAAGUUACAUGUGUAGUUAAGUGUUAUACUUAUAUUCCCAGUGGCGAAGCCCUUCAUGGGCUAGGGUGGGCCACGGCCCACUUGGAAAAAUCAAAAAAUUAAAGACAUAGGUGUAUUUUGUGAGAUUUUAUACAAUUUUGUGUUGGUUUUAAGUUUCGGCUGAUCCAAAUUUCUGUAAAGUGGUGUAGUGGCCCACCCGAAAAAUUUAAAUAAUUCAAUUAUAGGUCUAUUUUGCGAGAUUUUAAACAUUUUUUCAGCGGUUAUAGUUUUCCAGCUUGCUUGGGGCUUAAGUCACGCUAACACAAGCCCACAAAGGGCUAUAAAUACCACCCUUAGGAUCAUUCUCAAAGCAUCUCAAAAACAGUCUAAACCCUAGAUUUUAUUAUUGUACUCACUGCAAGUAAAAUGAAUGAUAUGUAAACAUUUCCAUAAACAUUUUCUGAAUCUUAAAACAUUCUCGGAUUCUUAUGAGGCCGUAAAACCUAAGUCUCCUAAAUUUUUUAGGAGACAACAAAAUGUAGAAAACACUUGGACGAAUCUUUAUACUUUUGACUACUCGUAUGAGAAAUUUACCCGUGGGUUGUUAAGAAAUUAUAUAUAUAUAUAUAUAUAUAUAUAUAUAUAUAUAUAUAUAUAUAUAUAUAUAGGGGAAACAAUUGGACGAAUGUUUAUGCUUUUUACUACACAUAUGGGAAAUUUACCCCACUUCUUUUUGUGGUUUUUUUUUAUAAAAUUUUUUAGUCGGUUGUUAAGAAUAUUUUAUAUGUAUAUGUAAAUGAUUGUACAAUUCCCUUGGAGCAACUCUUAUAUAGACAUAAACCUAAAUAAAUUCAUUUCGACACAUACACAUGAAUCAUAAAAUUUAAAAGUGAAAUAAUUUAAGCGGUGUCAUAUUAUUAUUUUUCUUUUAAAUUUUAUCAUUUAUAUAUACGGACAAAAAUAUUUUUGAUUUAAGGUUACGCCUAAGUAAAUAUUUCUAUUCGCAUUGAUUUUUUUAGUUCAAACGGUCCGAACACCUCAAAAAACGAUCCCAAUCCAAGGGCCUCUAUAUAAUCCGGUGUAUGAAAUGCUAAUAAAUAGUAAAUAAAUCAUUCCUACAAAAAAAGAAAAGAAUAGUAAAUAAAUCAUAUUAUAAUGUACUUGCACUUUUUUAAAGCAACUAUAGUGUAUACCGCGUGGAAAAACUUUAUUACUAGUGCCAGUUAAAUAUGAUUUAUUUACUUGAAAGGAAAUCAACAACCACCAAUUUUGGAUUAUAUAAAUUACCAUAUGUAUCAUGUUUAGGCCAAAUACCUUCCCGAGUCUUUUAAGUUUUAUGUUUGUUUUAGAUAGAUCUUUUAAAUUUUUAAAGUUUCAUAUAGGUCUUUUAAGUUUGAAUUUGUUUCGAAUCGGUCCUUUAAGUUUCUAAGGUUUCAGACAGAUUCUUUAAGUUUCAAGCUCCAUCUCCGAUACGCGAGUGACAUGGGUCACGUACCGUACUUGAGCUGGUUUUUUUGACUUUUUUGCCAAAUGGAUUGUAGCCAUUGGAUAUAUAUGGAUUGAAGUGAAUGGUUGAGAUUUAAUGAUAUUAUGACCUGACAAAAGGUUUGUAUUUUAACUUUAAUUGAUUUUUUUGAAAAUGUCAUGGUACUUGUAGUUAAAUACUGUAAAGGGUGCUUUGGACAAAAAGGGGUCAGAACAAGGAGGGAGGGAAAAUUUGAUUAUUGGAGUAGAAGGAAAGCAAAAUUGAGCCGCAAAAAAUAUGACUAAAGUGAAAUUAAGUUUUUUUUUUUUUUAUAGUUUUUUUUAAUAGUUAAAAUUCAAUUCAUAACUAAAAUGAGAUUACGUUAUUUAUGUGCCGUUUCGUCCGACUUUUUCCAACUUUUCUGCAUUUUUAAGGAGAAGUUAGGCCAAACACAAUAUCAAUAAAGUACCUUAAAAAAAAUACUUUUGUUAGAAUGCAUAAAAUUGAAUGGAAUAAGCUUUGAUCAAAACUUGUUGGAUGCUACUUCAAAAAACUACUUCUCGACAAUUUAUUUCACAAGCACCUCUUUUCAACUCUUGCUGGCAAUCUUUUCUUUUAUUUUUUAAUAUUAUAUUUUAAUUUGUUUUUUUCUUCCAUUUAAUUUAAUUUAAUUUUUUUGAACCGAUCCAUAUAAUUAUUUUUUUGAAAGUUCAUUUAAUUUUAUUAUAUUUUUUUUAAGGAAUUUUGUUAUCUUUUUAUUACUUAUAUAUUUAAUUUCAAUAUCUUUUAAUCAUCACAACCUCAUAAAUAUUUUUAUUUCUUUUCUUCAACCUCGCAAAUAUAUACACACACAUUAGCGUUUAGAAUAAUAAUUUAUGUUUGUCUGUAUGUUUUUUUGUUACGCUAAUGCGUAUAAUUUAUUUUUAGUGUUGCAUAAUGCAUAUAAUUAUUUUUAUAAUAUUUUGAUUUCAAUUAAAAGUACAAGUAUAGAUGCCUAAAAAAAUUAUACUUAUAUAUAUUUUGCACCUUUAUAUUGUAACAAACUAUACAUAUCUUUUUCUUAUUAAAAAAAAAUUAAAUAUAUAUUUUUCAUUGAAACCAACAAUGCAACAAAUAUAAUAAUAUCAUAUAAUAUAAAUUCUUAUCUUUUUUAAUGACACAAAAAAUAUGGUAUUCUUAUAACGAAAUUUGUCAUUGAGUGUAAUUGGAAAAGAAAAAACCAACUAUUUUGAUAUUAUUUAUGUUAUUAUUUGAGCCUCCUUAAAUUAUUUCUCAUAUUCAAGUAUUUAACAAAUCCUUUAUAAGAUGAUACAAAUUUCUAUGCAUAUUACACAAAAUAAACGUCAUUGAGUAAAUAUAGUAUUUAAAUUUUUUUUUUUAUUUUAAAUUAUAACAAAUCAAACUAACCAUGAUUAUUUAUUUCAAUGAAACAAACAAUAUAACAAAAAAAUAUAAUCUUCCUUCAAAAACAAAAACAAAAAAAUACAAUCUAAAUUCUUAUUUUUUUUUUAAUGACACCAACAACGAUCUUUAUCACUGAAAAAGUUGUUAAAAAGUAUAAUCAAUCAAUCAAUAAUAUCAAUAUCAAUAAUCAAUAGUAUAUAAGUAAUGUUUUUUAUGCCACAUGUCACUUCCACAUUCAUUCUCAAUAUUUUUAUUUUUUAAAAUCAAUAUUUUAUUUGCCAAAAAUAUUUCAACAAACUUUUGAUCCUAUCCACUCAAUAUUUUAUUUAAAUUUUUGUUGAAUUUCUAAUAUUUUAUGUUGCAGAAAUAUCUCAACAAACUACAUAUAAUACUUUCAACAAAGUUUACAUAUAUGAUAUUAUUUUAUGAUUAAAAGGCUCAAGUUGGUUUGUUUUUUAUUUUUUUAGAAAAAGAAGCUUCAAUUAGUUACUAAGUAAUCUUUUAACACCGUAUCAUUCAAUUAGUUCUUCUUUUUCAAUAGUAUAGUAUAUGUAUAAACUAAGGUUUUUUAUGCCACAUGUCACUUCCACAUUCAUUCUCAAUAUUUUUAUUAUUUUUUCUAUCUUUUAAAAUCAAUAUUUUAUUUGGCAAAAAUAUUUCAACAAACUUUUGAUCUUAUCCGCUCAAUAUUUUAUUUAAAUUUUUGUUGAAUUUCUAAUAUUUUAUGUUGCAGAAAUAUCUCAACAAACGACAUGAUCGUACCUGAUCAGAAGGUGACUGCCGGUGUCGUGAAUGUGGUGGUUGUGACGGUGGUUGAAUACGUCAGAAUGCUUCUUGGAGUGGAUGAGGGUGUGUACCUGCAGGCACUCCGACGCUCAAGUCAGUAGAGACCAGAGAGUGAGGGUUUGAGAAGAAGAAAGAUUCUACCUUGGGGACUGCAUUGAGUUCCCUAUUUAUAGAGGUGGAGGGCUGCAAAGCCGUUGUAAUGGCACACCUUACUCUAACAGUUACGAAAUCGUGGGAAGUGUAACUGCCUGUGAGUUUAUUGCGGGAACGUGGAAAGAGACGUUGGGGUUCGUUUGAACCGGUAUCUUUCGUUCCGUGCACCCCCCUCGCGUGGAAGGGGUGUGUCGCGAGUAAUUUUACCAGACGUGGUGUUUGGGCUUUGGAUGGUAUUGGGCCUAAGUAAAUGAGUCAAAGAUCCUUUUGGCCGGUCCAGAACACUACAUAUAAUAUUUUCAAUAAAAUUAUGUAUUUUUUAAUAAAAAUAAUGAGAAAAAGGAUAUACAUGUGAUUUUAUGAAAGAUAAAAGACCUAAACAGAAAAAAAAUAAAGAUAAAAGACCAAAGUGUUACAAAUAAAUAAAAUAAAGGACCUAUAAUGUAAUCUUGUCUAUAAUUAAAUAAAAAUUAAAAAUAUUAAAAGUUACCUUAUGAUUAAAAUUGAUUUUUUUUUGGAAAAAAAAUUGACUCAUUUAUUUGAUAUUUAAUGUUGUCAAUGUAUAUUACAUUUUGAUUGGUUGAUAUCAUGAGGAAGUAAAUACCUCCUAAACAAGAGAGUGUAAUCUAAAAAAAAACCUAUUAACUCACAUUAACCUUUGUAAAUAACAUUACUAUAUUGUUGGAAAAAAAAAUUAUGACGAAAUGUUAGUUUUUUUUUUUAAGGAUUUUUAAAGGAACGAAAUACUAGGUUAUAUGAUGUUGUUAAUUUGACAUUAAUAAAAAAAUUGUAUUGUAUACCCUAAAAAAUAAAUUUGUAUUGUAUUAUAAUAAAUUGAUGGAAUUGGGACUAAAAGGUUUUUUUUUGCGUUUGAUUCAACAAAAUAAAAAGAUUACCUGGAUAAGACAAUUUUCGCUUGAGACAGUUGUAUGAUCUCAGUAUAAUACUCAUUUGUUAUAUCAAUCAUUUUAUAGUAAAAAUAAAUUACAAGACUAAUCAACCACAUACAAAGGAUUAAAUUACUCUCUCUUAUGUUGGAGAUGACGUAAGCUUCCAAUCCAAUUCACUUGUGUUCAGUUAACUAGUCUUAAGAAGAUUCUCUUCGAACGAAAGAUAGUAUUAUGAAGAUUCUCUUGGAACUCAAGUUAGUCUUUAGAUGAUUCUCACAAAACAAUAUUUAUUAUUUAGAAGAUUCUCGUAGAACGGGAGUUAUUCUUAGGAAGAUUAUCAAAGAAUGAAAGUUAGUCUUAGGAAGAUUCUAAAUAGAAUGAUAAUUAAUAUUUGAAAGAUUUUCAUAGAACGAAAGUCGGUCUUUGAAAGAUUCUCAUAGAACAAUAGUUAGUAUUUAUGAGAUUCUCACAGAACAUAAGCUAGUUAUAGGAAGAUUCUCAAAGAAUGAAAGUCAGUAUUCGGAAGACCAAAGAUUUUGCUGAUUAGGUUUCUGAAGGGAUAGUUUGUUGAAUUUACUUAUGUCGAAGAUUCUGAUCGUCGAAAUUUCACUUCAUACUUCGUUCUUAAUCGAAUUAGGUCAUUUUCAACGGUCAGGUUGAUUAUUUCUAUUUUAAAUUCCCUAACAUAUGCCCUUGGGGCACAUGUUAAAACAUUUGCCAAUUGAUUUUCAUCAAAAGUGAGUUGAAUAUAAAUUGAUUAUGCUUAGAUACAUGAAUGCAAAAGUGAUUCUUAUUAAUUGAUUUUGUCUAGGUAUUUGAUAUUAAAAUUUUUAAUUACCAAAAUGGAUUUUAAUAGAAGUAUAUAUUUAAAACUAAAUUUUGUUAAUAAUUUAAAUGAGUUUUAGUAGUAAUAGUGGUUUUAGGUCAUUUUUUGACUUAGAAUUUUCCCCUCUGCAUCCUUUUUCCCUUUUGUAUAUAUUUAAAACUAAAUUUUGUUAAUCAUUUUUUAAAUGCGGGGUUGUGUUGUUCAUCGUCUUGUGUGGUGUUCGUUUGUUUCAUAACUUGGGUGCUGUGAAUUUGUUUGCAGAUUCAUCCUUUAUAAUUUUAGCAAUGUUGAUUCUGCUGUAUUCUAUCAUUAAAUAAGAACCGUAAAAAUAAGAAGAAAGUUCCAAAUAAUCUUCUUCUUCUCUAUUUUUUUUCUUUUCCAUCUCCUUUUGAGCUUCCAUGGACAAAUAAUAGGUAUUUCACCCAUCUCCAGAAUGAAUUGCAUGUUCGUUUUUUUCUCUUUGUUAUGUUAUUUUUUUUUAAAUUUCUGAUCCAAAAAGCCAGUUUAACAAAAUGAGUAUUUCACUCAUCUAAUCUGCACAAACUCUUUUUUUGCUAAAAUUGAGAAACUAACAGUGAAGAUUAUAAAAGAAAAAAUUGUGUGAAACGGGAAAAUUGAUGAAAACUCUACAGCUGAUGAAACACAAAAUUGAUAUAAAAGAACAUGAAGAAAAUUGGAUGACAUUCCAGAUCUUUAAUGGAUUGCUUGAGUUGUGUGGUGUGAAAUUCCAAAAUUGACCCUGUAGUUUUGUUCUCAACAAAUAUGAACAAUAAUAAUUUAUAUAAUUAGUAUAAUAAAUAAUACCCACUACAACAGGUAAGCAUAGUACAACAACCUAAAAUUUCCGGUGAUGAAAACUCAUGUACCGUGCGAGACCCAUAUGACUUGCGUACCGGAGACGUCGCCUAAGUUUCGAGUUUGUUUCAGAUAGGUCUUUUAAGUUUGUUUUAGAUAGGUUCUUUAUAUCAAUCUCCGUUAAGCCAAAGUAGAUUUGAUAGAAAUGAUCUAUCUGAAACAAACUUGAAACUUAAAGGACCUAUCUAAAACCUUAGAAACUUAAAGGACCUAUCCGAAAUAAACUUAAAACUUAAAGAAUCUAUCUAAAACAAACGUGAAACUUAAAAAGACCCAGAGAGGUAUUUGACCUAUAAUAUACAUGCGCUUUUUAAAAGUAAAUAUAGUCUAUACCGUGUAAAAAAAGUAAAAACUUUAUUACUCGUGCCAAUUAAAUAUGAUUGAAAGGAAAUCAACAACCACCAAUUUUGGAUUAUAUAAAUUACCAUAUGUAUCUCGAGUCCAUUGUAGCAAGAAAAAUGGCUUCAAAGAAGUGCUCUCUUAUUUUGGUAGUUCUCUUUAUUUGUCUGUUGAGUUUUUCAUCAAAGGCAUUAGCAAGGAACAUUCCGAAUGCUUCGAAACUUUAUCUAUGUAACUGAACUUCCCCAUAAUAUCCAUUUUGUUAUUGCAUUUGCGCAAUAUUAUGAAGAAGUUUUUCAUUUAUAAUUAAGUUUGUUCUUGUAUUAAUAUAUGGUUUUUUUUGUAUAGUUUCAGAUGAAAUAGGUCUGAAUAAGAAGAGACUCCUUGCUAGUGUGAAGCCUAAGCCUGAUAAUGCACGUGGCCACAAUUAUGCAGGUUUUACUUCCCCAUAAUAAUAUCCAUAAUAAUUAAGUUUUUUCUUGUAUUAAUAUAUGGUAUUUUUGUAUAGAUCUGAAUAAGAAGAGACUCCUUUCAGAAAAGUGUGGGAGUAGGACACAUCAACCUCAUGCUGAUAGGCCACGUUGCCACAAUUAUCUAUGAAGAUGAUGUUGGAUCAAUUUACGGAUGAAGUUGGUAGAAAAAAAAUAAAUAAUGAGAUAUUGUAUUAAAUAUGCUUGUUGUUUGUUCAAAAAAAAAAUUUUGCUUGUUGUUUAGUUUGAUUUAUUUUCCCUAGGUGGAAAGCUUGUGUUUUGCACGGAUAAAUUCUAAUAAAUAAUCAGCUUGAUUUAUUAAGAUUUUUUUUUUUUUUUUAAGAAGCAUUAAGAAUAUUUUAGUUAAUAAAUAAUUAUAAAUAUUUAUAUAAGUGUGUAAUAUGUUCAUCAAUUGAUUUACAUGGUAAAAGUUCGAUAAAUUUAAGCAUAAAAUUGACAACAAAUUAUAUGGUUAAUGCACUUUAAAUAUGUGAUUAACACAAUUCACAUGACGGUUGAUAAAUUUAUGGAUGAAGGUGCGUGCGAGUAGGUUAGCACUAUGACUCUCAAAUCAAUGAGAAAAAGAGAUAAAUUUGUGCUAAAAAGUGGUGAAUUAGUUGUACCUUGAGUGUGAUGUCACGCUUAUAUAGACGAAUAGGUUUAUAACUGUCUCCUUGAUCUACAACGCCACAUCUGAGAAUCGUUAGCGAGGGCUUCAACGAUGGAGAUUGCCUCAUGGGGAACUUGUAAGUGGUAAGCCGCACAAAGCUUAUUGUGCGACUCCCCUUCACACGUCUCUCGGAUCUUGGGGCAAUGGGGCUUGUUGGUACGUCUUUGUGGGAGGAGGCCCAAUUCAGAACAAAAACAUAUGUUGAUUUAACAAUAGAGUAUAAAACUAAGAAUUCUGCUCUUUACGUAACACAUUUUUUCCGCGACCAACUGAAAUACCGAAAAUACUCCUGUGUGACUUAACUCACCCAGGUGUUAAAUCUGCGCAACUUUCCUCACUUCUCAUCUAAAAUCUCCAAAAUGUCUCUUAAAUCACCCAAAUCCAAAAUUCCUUCAAGUUAAAAUCAAACAUCACUCCAUUAACAAGUAAGUUUUCAUAAUCAAACACCAU
rnacentral:lncRNA from 1 species